rnacentral:rRNA from 1 species
UACGUAGGGUGCGAGCGUUAUCCGGAUUUAUUGGGCGUAAAGGGUUUCGUAGGCGGUUUGAUAAGUCGUUCGUUAAAGCCCCCGGCUCAACCGGGGAAAGGCGGGCGAGACUGUCAGACUAGAGGGUUGGAGGGGGUGUUAGAAUGCUUGGUGUAGGGGUGAAAUCCGUUGAUAUCAAGCAGAAUACCAAGGGCGAAGGCAGACACCUGGACAACCCCUGACGCUGAGGAACGAAAGCUUGGGGAGCAAACCGGAUUAGAUACCCCGUA